rnacentral:rRNA from 1 species
CCUACGGUGCGCAGCAGUGAGGAAUAUUGGUCAAUGGACGCAAGUCUGAACCAGCCAUGCCGCGUGCAGGAAGACGGCUCUAUGAGUUGUAAACUGCUUUUGUACGAGGGUAAACGCAGAUACGCGUAUCUGUCUGAAAGUAUCGUACGAAUAAGGAUCGGCUAAUUCCGUGCCAGCAGCCGCGGGAAUACGGAGGAUUCAAGCGUUAUCCGGAUUUAUUGGGUUUAAAGGGUGCGUAGGCGGUCGUGUAAGUUAGAGGGUAAAUUCCGAGGCUCAACUUCGGAAUUGCCUCUGAUACUGUUCGGCUAGAGAGUAGUUGCGGUAGGCGGAAUGUAUGGUGUAGCGGUGAAAUGCUUAGAGAUCAUACAGAACACCGAUUGCGAAGGCAGCUUACCAAGCUACUUCUGACGUUGAGGCACGAAAGCGUGGGGAGCAAACAGGAUUAGAUACCCGGGUAGUC